ensembl:ncRNA C02B4.10 ncRNA
UUAUUUUUUAAACGACUCAUAUAUUCAAUUUCAAAAGUUGGCCCGUCAGAUGUUGUCACUUUUUGUAAAAAGAAAUUUGUGAAACAAAAUUUACUGAACUUAUGCAUAUAAUUGUCUAUAUUUUGCCUGUUGAACGCGUUUCAACAACGU